UGGGCUUGGGCAGUGAGGACUGGGGGUCCAGCCCAUCUCCCACUCCUUACCCCUGGCCGUC
rnacentral:pre_miRNA from 1 species